CUUCAGCUGCGGCUCAGUGACUCUGAAAGGACAGACAGAGGCCGCAGAGAGGCUGCAGGGACGCUCGCCCAGCAGCUCAUUACAAGUAAAAAUAGCUCUCUUUGUUUAGGAAUUGUUUGUCUGUGGUUGGCUGAAUUAUUGUAUAUCUGAUGAGCAGAGAUAUAACAGAGUGCAUGUGACUGAGUAUUUUUCUACUGCUACUCAAACACAAAACAGAAAUAUUUACCCAGCUGAGCAUUUUAUGAAAGUCAGUUAUGCAAAGAUUUGAUGGAUAAUUUGAGGAUUAGCAUGUGACACUAGCUGCUUGAUAAAAUCUUCAACUGUCUCUUCUACUUAUAGACAUGAAAUAAUGCGUGUUGAAGCCUUGAUAGGAUCUUUUCCAGUGGCCCCCCAGGGGAAAUUUGAAAAUAAAAGAAGGUUAAAAGUUUGCUUUGACUCAAAACACAAGGGAGCUAACUGUUUUUUGCAAUUGUCUGCAAAUUUCUGUGUGAAUACAAACAGCUGUAUUAUUUCCUUAUUUAGGACUUUUUCCCAGGCUCCAAAGGAAUUUUUUUCCUGCUUGAAAAGAAAGAGAAAAAUCACACUAAUGACUGUGUACAGGCAGAGAAACAGAUAUGAGGUUGGUGUGUAAACAAUAGGCAGUAACCCUCAGGCCUUUUCCUUUGUGUCGCAGGAAUGAAGAGGGGAAAUAAACCGUUGACUGAGGUGAAACAAGACGACAGGUGUCAGAUGAUUGAAAGGGGAGUCUGAUGGUUUCAGAGAUACUGGAGGACAGUGGGAUACCUGGGCCAGGAGAAAGUAACAGAACUGCAGGUCUCAUGCGGGCUUCAGAAAACUUCAGGAUCAGCGUUUUCAAAACAAUCACACACAGAGAGCAGACAGUUGGGAAAACUGAUGAAAAGUCUGACAAGAGUUUGGGACUCUGCUGCUGGUAUGACUCUCACCAAGUGGAGUGUGGAGUAUACAGACUUUUGAACCCAGAUUCAAAGAUGAAAAUAUUGCCGUGAGAAAUGUAUCAAGACUUGGGUUGGGCAUCAUUUGAAUUUGACCAAUCCCAGUUCUGAUUCCUCAUUUUGAUUCUGGUUCCUAACAAUUCUCCAUUGUGAUUCUUUUAAAAGGCAGUAAAUAAAAAAAUGUGUGGUUUAAAUGA